GAAAAGAGAGGAAGAGGGAGCCAAGGAUGAGCCAGUAGAUUCUGACAUUGAGGAUGAAGAUGAUGAUGCCAAUGCUGAUGAUGCAGAAGACGAUUCUGUUUCCGAAAUCAAAGCAGACGAGAGUGCUGAGUCUGCCGACUCCAAGGACGAAGUAAAGGAUGAGUUGUAGAGAGGCAAAGCAAUAAAACUGACCAGUUGGGUUCGACAUACGCCUGGUGCCCGAAAAAAUUUUCUUUUUCUAUCUUGACAGUAUAGAUGUAGGGACAUUUCUUUAGAGGGGGAGAGAUGUAGGGGGGCUGAUCCCAAGACCAUGUGACUAAUUUGCAUCUAUAUUCUUUUUGAGUGAUUUGAGUUUUUAGAGCAAAGGAAAAUGUCCAUUUUCG